GGAGGUGUGGAAGCUAUGUCGAGGUCUCUUCUGUGUUCUGCAGAGAUGAUUCUUCUAGGAGUGUCUAACCCUGUCUGGGGAAGAAGUGGAAAGGAAGGUCCCUUGAGGCAAUGAAACAUGAGGAGGAGAAGUUUGCCCAAUGGACAAGAUGAGAGAAGGGCAUGCCUGGCAGAAGGCACAGCACAUGCAGAGGCUCAGAGGGGACACGGGUUCGAGCCCUGGUCUGGGAAGAUCCCACAUGCCACGGAGGAACUAA